GGGUUGUGAGGUUAAGCGACUAAGCGUACACGGUGGAUGCCCUGGCAGUCAGAGGCGAUGAAGGGCGUGCUAAUCUGCGAUAAGCGCCGGUAAGGUGAUAUGAACCGUUAUAACCGGCGAUACCCGAAUGGGGAAACCCAGUGUGAUUCGUCACACUAUCAUUAACUGAAUCCAUAGGUUAAUGAGGCGAACCGGGGGAACUGAAACAUCUAAGUACCCCGAGGAAAAGAAAUCAACCGAGAUUCCCCCAGUAGCGGCGAGCGAACGGGGAGGAGCCCAGAGCCUGAAUCAGCAUGUGUGUUAGUGGAAGCGUCUGGAAAGGCGCGCGAUACAGGGUGACAGCCCCGUACACAAAAGCGCAUGUGCUGUGAGCUCGAUGAGUAGGGCGGGACACGUGGUAUCCUGUCUGAAUAUGGGGGGACCAUCCUCCAAGGCUAAAUACUCCUGACUGACCGAUAGUGAACCAGUACCGUGAGGGAAAGGCGAAAAGAACCCCGGCGAGGGGAGUGAAAAAGAACCUGAAACCGUGUACGUACAAGCAGUGGGAGCACAGGUUUACCUGUGUGACUGCGUACCUUUUGUAUAAUGGGUCAGCGACUUAUAUUCUGUAGCAAGGUUAACCGAAUAGGGGAGCCGGAGGGAAACCGAGUCUUAAUUGGGCGUUAAGUUGCAGGGUAUAGACCCGAAACCCGGUGAUCUAGCCAUGGGCAGGUUGAAGGUUGGGUAACACUAACUGGAGGACCGAACCGACUAAUGUUGAAAAAUUAGCGGAUGACCUGUGGCUGGGGGUGAAAGGCCAAUCAAACCGGGAGAUAGCUGGUUCUCCCCGAAAGCUAUUUAGGUAGCGCCUCGUGAAUUCAUCUCCGGGGGUAGAGCACUGUUUCGGCUAGGGGGCCAUCCCGGCUUACCAACCCGAUGCAAACUGCGAAUACCGGAGAAUGUUAUCACGGGAGACACACGGCGGGUGCUAACGUCCGUCGUGAAGAGGGAAACAACCCAGACCGCCAGCUAAGGUCCCAAAGUCAUGGUUAAGUGGGAAACGAUGUGGGAAGGCCCAGACAGCCAGGAUGUUGGCUUAGAAGCAGCCAUCAUUUAAAGAAAGCGUAAUAGCUCACUGGUCGAGUCGGCCUGCGCGGAAGAUGUAACGGGGCUAAACCAUGCACCGAAGCUGCGGCAGCGAACGUAUCACCCAAGACAACUUUACGGAGUUGACGAUUGACGGAGCGAAGCGACGUCAAAGCGUUCAUUAAAGUCGAGUUGGCUUAGGGAUACGUUCGUUGGGUAGGGGAGCGUUCUGUAAGCCUGUGAAGGUGUGUCGUGAGGCAUGCUGGAGGUAUCAGAAGUGCGAAUGCUGACAUAAGUAACGAUAAAGCGGGUGAAAAGCCCGCUCGCCGGAAGACCAAGGGUUCCUGUCCAACGUUAAUCGGGGCAGGGUGAGUCGACCCCUAAGGC
rnacentral:rRNA from 2 species